rnacentral:rRNA from 1 species
AAUGAACGUUGGCGGCGUGGAUUAGGCAUGCAAGUCGUACGGGUCGGUGUAGCAAUACAACGGCAAGUGGCGAAAGGGAGAGUAACGCGUAGAUACCUACCCUCUGGUCGGGGAUACCGCGGCAUAACCGCAAGUAAUACCCGAUAAUAUCUCCGGAUCAAAGGUGUGAUUCCGCCGGAGGAGGGGUCUGCGUUUCAUCAGCUUGUUGGUGAGGUAACGGCUCACCAAGGCUAAGACGAAUACGGGGUGUGAGAGCAUGCCCCCGCUCACUGGGACUGAGACACUGCCCGGACACCUACGGGUGGCUGCAGUCGGGAAUCUUCGGCAAUGGGCGCAAGCCUGACCGAGCGACGCCGCGUGCGGGAUGAAGGCCUUCGGGUCGUAAACCGCUGUCGAGGGGGAUAAAGUGCAGGUGGGUUCUCCCAUUUGUUUGAUAGAUCCCUGGAGGAAGCAUGGGCUAAGUUCGUGCCAGCCGCCGCCGUAA